GACUUCAACUAUGCUGUUCCCACAGCUGAAGUUGUGCAUCUGAGAUUGCUCCCCCCCCCAGACCCAGUGUAAACCAGGGCCAAGGGGUGGACAAUCCACCUUGCCCCGGGGGAAGCUGCUCCAAUGGUUAAUCACCCACCUUGCUAAAAAUGUGGGCCUUAAUUCCUCUUUGAAUUUGUUCCGCUGCAAUGUCCUGCCUCUGAAUCUCAUUCGCCCUUUGUCUGCGACUCGGAGAGUAAAGAGCUGUCUCCUUUUCCUUGGGUGGAGACUUAGAGACCAACACCUCCCACACACCGGGUCCAUGUCAGAAAUCUACUUUCCACUGUAAGGUUGACACCGGAGCAGGCUGAAAAAGGUGCCACAAAAAUCGUCCCUUUCAAUCCGUCGA